rnacentral:lncRNA from 1 species
AUUUCCGCAUCCGCCGCCAUGAUCUUGACAGCCACCCGCUUUCCCAGGUAUAGCCCCUCCACAACACGGCCAAAUGCGCCACGGCCGCGGACUACAGGAAGCAUCGUCACCUCGGCCACCGAAAUCUUAUUACCUUCACUGCUGCUGGUCACACCACCUGUGCCACUCUCUAACUCUCUACAGGCUAUAGCCAGGCCACCGGUGUCGGCGGCACGGGCUUUCCUCCUGUCCAAAUCGUCACAUUCAACAUGGCCUGCUGCUGCCGCAGGAGCUGGAUCGGUGAGCGAAUCAUCCAGGCCACUGAGGCCGCCGCCUCCUUGCGCAGCUGGACCUGCCUCCAUUAUUGCUGGUAACGCAGGUGGUCCGGGUGGCGCUUUGCUGAAGUCGCAGCAGGAGCUCGAGCUGGUCUUCGUUGGCGUAUCCUUAAGGCUGAUAUUGAGAUCCAAGCCAACACGAGGAGGGGUGAGCAGCGUAAUCGGCACUUCCGUGUCUGCGAGCCAGCAAGGGUUGUUUGAGGUCCCAGUAUAUAGAGCUGUUGCUCCGGCUGCCAUAAUCACCGUGGCAUCCUCUUUGGUGGAGCUGCACGAAGACGACCUGCAUGGGUG